rnacentral:rRNA from 1 species
UCGUCACACUAUCAUUAACUGAAUCCAUAGGUUAAUGAGGCGAACCGGGGGAACUGAAACAUCUAAGUACCCCGAGGAAAAGAAAUCAACCGAGAUUCCCCCAGUAGCGGCGAGCGAACGGGGAGGAGCCCAGAGCCUGAAUCAGCAUGUGUGUUAGUGGAAGCGUCUGGAAAGGCGCGCGAUACAGGGUGACAGCCCCGUACACAAAAGCGCAUGUGCUGUGAGCUCGAUGAGUAGGGCGGGACACGUGGUAUCCUGUCUGAAUAUGGGGGGACCAUCCUCCAAGGCUAAAUACUCCUGACUGACCGAUAGUGAACCAGUACCGUGAGGGAAAGGCGAAAAGAACCCCGGCGAGGGGAGUGAAAAAGAA